GUGCGCCGCCUGGCUCAGCGGCGGCAGUAGUGGAGCGGCCGACAGAGGGUUCCAUGGUGUAAUGGUGAGCACUCUGGACUCUGAAUCCAGUGAUCCGAGUUCAAAUCUCGGUGGGACCUUUCCCUUUAGGCAGCGCCCAGCCGUCUUUUACUCAGUUUCCUCCCGAAAGCGAACUCGCGCCUCAGAUGCGCGCUGCCUGGAUGCGCUUUCCCGCCCCCGCAUCCUCCUCAGUCCCGCUCUCGACCCGACCGUCUGGGUCCCGAGAAGGAGGCUUCCCGGACCCGCGACCCUCCUGCCGCCGCCCGUGCCUCGCAGCCGCGUCCCCCGCGCUCUGCCGCCUCCUCCUGAGGAAAACCGGCUGCUCCGAGUGGCGCGGUCCACGCGGACGUGGCGGGCAGGUUGGGGGGACGAGCCCGCGGCGUCCCCGCUGGACCCUGGCGACUCUGCCCGUCGCGGGCCAUUGGAGGCCCCGGCCCCGCCGCCCAGGGGCGCAGCGACCGAGCCAGUGCCACCUGCUCGUCGGGUCACCCUGGGUCUCGGGGGCGAAAGGCAGAGGCUGCGCCCACUGAGUCCUGCCCCGCGAGGGGGCUUCGCCCCGCACGUCUUGUAGCUAACUGCGCGGUUGUCACGCACUGCUCUAGAUUCUACCACCAAAAAGGAAAUAUGGAGGACAAGAGAAUUUAUUAAAGUACACCCAGGGCUUGGAGCCACACAGCAGUAGAGGGAUCAGCAAAGACUCUGCAUAUAAAGAAGAGGAGAGCAAGGAGGACAUACUCAGGAGGGAACCCAGGUAAAAUUACUCACAGAAAGGGCAUGUGGAUAAA